rnacentral:lncRNA from 1 species
GUGCUCACCCAAACCCUACAUGGCCUCAUGUCUCACACCGGGGUCAGCCCCACAGUGGCAUGAGACCACGUGCCUGGAGGAACGGAAGCUGAAGAAUACUUCACUGGGUCCUUCCCUUUUACUCAACGCAAGAAGGUGGCCAUCUGCAAACCAAGAAGAGAGCCCUCACCAGAAACUGAAAUUGCCAGCACCUUGAUCUUGGACAUCCCAGCCUCCAGAAUGACACUGCAGUUGAUGGAUCAGCUGGCACCACCUGGAUCAAUAAACUGGUUCAUCUUAUCUUGUGGCCCCCACCCAGGAACUGACUCAGUACAAGAGGACACCUUCAACUUCCCAUGAUUUCAUCUCCAACCCAACCAGUCAGCACUCUCGACUCACAGGACUUCCUCCACCCACCAAAUUAUCCUUAAAAACUCUGAUUUCCAAAUGUUUGGGGAGACUGAUUUGAAUAAUAAAAAAACUCCAAUCUCC